rnacentral:rRNA from 1 species
GACGAACGCUGGCGGCGUGCCUAAUACAUGCAAGUAGAACGCUGAAGCGAGGAGCUUGCUCUUCUUGGAUGAGUUGCGAACGGGUGAGUAACGCGUAGGUAACCUGCCUUGUAGCGGGGGAUAACUAUUGGAAACGAUAGCUAAUACCGCAUAACAAUGGAUGACACAUGUCAUUUAUUUGAAAGGGGCAAUUGCUCCACUACAAGAUGGACCUGCGUUGUAUUAGCUAGUAGGUGAGGUAAUGGCUCACCUAGGCGACGAUACAUAGCCGACCUGAGAGGGUGGUCGGCCACACUGGGACUGAGACACGGCCCAGACUCCUACGGGAGGCAGCAGUAGGGAAUCUUCGGCAAUGGGGGCAACCCUGACCGAGCAACGCCGCGUGAGUGAAGAAGGUUUUCGGAUCGUAAAGUUCUGUUGUAAGUCAAGAACGGGUGUGAGAGUGGAAAGUUCACACUGUGACGGUAGCUUACCAGAAAGGGACGGCUAACUACGUG